UUUUUGGGUCAUAGAGACCUUACACAUGUGCCAUAUCUCUUUGUUGUAUCAUGAACAAUAUCGGCCAGUUCAAGGGCGUUUCUAAGGAGUCUUGUAUAGGGUGUUGAAACUUAAGGCAAAGAACUUCUGUUCCAUUCCGUCCAUCUCCUUAUAUCUACUAUACAUUUUUGCAACACUUUUUGGGGUCCCUAAUCGGGUCG
rnacentral:lncRNA from 1 species